UAGGAAACUGCUUCCAUUUGUGUAC
rnacentral:misc_RNA from 1 species